ensembl:ncRNA T13H10.11 ncRNA
AAAAAAUGGAAAAAUACAAGAAAAUAGAGACUAGAGAUUGCAUAGGUUUUGCGGUGGCGAAACCGCACACAUUUUUGUCUGUGUUAUCUCUAAUUUUACGCUCUCGGUGUUCUCUAUUUACUGUCCAGAAGAAUGAAGAAUAUGGGGGAAAAGUGCGCGGGAAAAUUGAGAGACCGAGUGAUGAGAGCCGCAGUUUUGCAAAACUUUUUCGGGCAAUAAUCCGCCGGCGAGUACUACGAGAAGCACACACACAUACGAAAACUGUU